UACAGAGGGUGCAAGCGUUGUUCGGAAUUAUUGGGCGUAAAGGGCGCGUAGGCGGUGCGGUAAGUCUGCGGUGAAAUCUCCCGGCUCAACUGGGAGGCUGCCGUGGAAACUGCCGUGCUUGAGUGUGGGAGAGGUGAGUGGAAUUCCUGGUGUAGCGGUGAAAUGCGUAGAUAUCGGGAGGAACAUCCGUGGCGAAGGCGGCUACCUGGACCAGCACUGACACUGAGGCACGAAAGCGUGGGGAGCAAACAGG
rnacentral:rRNA from 1 species